rnacentral:lncRNA from 1 species
CGUCCCCGGCGCCCCCGGUGCUGACGUCCUUGGUGGACCCCGUCUUGACGUCCCUGGUGUCCCCCAUCCCCAUGUUCUUGGUGGCCUGCAUGUUGACUUCCUUGGUGUCCCCCGUGCUGACCUUCUUGGUGUCCCCCAUGGUGACAUCCUCGGUGUCGCCCAUGCCAACGUCCCUCGUGUCCCCCAUGUUGAGGACCUCGGUGUCUCCCAUGUUGAUGUUCUUGGUGUCAUCCAUGCUGAUGUCUCUGGCGUCCCCCACGCCGAUGUCCUUGGCGUCGCCCGAGUUGACGUCACUGGUGUCUCCUGUGCUGAUGUCCUUGGUGUUGCCCAUGCCGACGUCCCUGGUGGCCCCCAUGUUGACAUCCUUGACAUCACCCGUAUUGACGUCCCUGGUGGCCCCCAUGCUGACGUCCCUGGUGUUGCCCAUGCCGACGUCCCUGGUGGCCCCCACGCUGACAUCCUUGACGUCGCCCAUAUUGACGUUCACGGUGUUGCCCAUGCCGACGUCCCUGGUGGCCGCCACGCUGACAUCCUUGCCGUCGCCCGUAUUGACGUCCCUGGUGUGGCCCGUAUUGACGUCCCCGGCGUCCCCCGUGCCGACGUCCUUGAUGUCACCCGUGCCGACGUCCCCGGCGCCCCGCGCGCCCCCAGCCUCCUGGGCGUCGCCGGCCGGCGGGGGGCUCUUCUGGUGCCGGGUGAACUGGGGCUUGUUCG